CCUACGGGAGGCAGCAGUGGGGAAUUUUGGACAAUGGGCGAAAGCCUGAUCCAGCCAUACCGCGUGCGGGAAGAAGGCCUUCGGGUUGUAAACCGCUUUUGUCAGGGAAGAAAUGCUUCGGGCUAAUACCCUGGGGUGAUGACGGUACCUGAAGAAUAAGCACCGGCUAACUACGUGCCAGCAGCCGCGGUAAUACGUAGGGUGCAAGCGUUAAUCGGAAUUACUGGGCGUAAAGCGUGCGCAGGCGGUUCUAUAAGACAGAUGUGAAAUCCCCGGGCUCAACCUGGGAACUGCAUUUGUGACUGUAGAGCUAGAGUACGGUAGAGGGGGAUGGAAUUCCGCGUGUAGCAGUGAAAUGCGUAGAUAUGCGGAGGAACACCGAUGGCGAAGGCAAUCCCCUGGACCUGUACUGACGCUCAUGCACGAAAGCGUGGGGAGCAAACAGGAUUAGAUACCCUGGUAGUCCACGCCCUAAACGAUGUCAACUGGUUGUUGGGAGGGUUUCUCUCAGUACGAAGCUAACGCGUGAAGUUGACCGCCUGGGGAGUACGGCCGCAAGGUUGAAACUUAAAGAUUAGUAGGCGUUGAGAGNGCGACGACGACGACGAGGAGGAGG
rnacentral:rRNA from 1 species